AGCAAGGCAAAAGUUAUGUAACUUGGCUUAAUAUAACACAGUAAAUACCAGUACAGGUCUUAAAUACAGGUUUUCCACAAACUAAACUGGUCAGCAUAGGCAAAUUAUAAGAUAUAUAGGAAGUCCAAGUUCACAACCACUUGGACGAUGGAGAAAGGAAGAAUAGGAGAGAAAAGAGGCCUAGAAUUAGAAGAACAUAUUACAUAUGCUAGUUCUUCCUUGGAACAAAACCAUAUGCUGCAUAUCGAUGUAAUCCAUGUUCCUGAGUUUGAAUCUUGUUGAAGACUACAUUUGCUACUUCUAAAUCAGCACAUCCAUCAUCAAAGUUGAGAGCAUAACCCAAGGGAUCAUACUGAAAUUUGACCACCCUUUGUUUCCUUCCCUUCCUUAUGGCUCUUCUAAUCCUUGCUCUAAUCCUCCAGAGAAGGCUUCUGUGGUGCUUCCUGCUAUAGUUAUUCACACAUGCCACUCUCCCUGCCCGACUCAUCUCUGAUGCUUUGGUUUUUAAUGUAUGUUUGCUUAGAAAUUGGGCAAAAAACUGGAAUAUGUGACAGCAAACCUCUUGUUACACCUGAGACAAUGGACAAGAGAAGGCCUUCACUCCACUGUCCUGCAGCCUAUGGAUGCCUAUGAACCACCAUUUCUGAAUCCUGAUGUUGUCUCAGGGUUGUGAAUGGUUACAGCUGACUAGAGUGCUAUUUUGUUCGAUCGAGUUGGAUGCAAUUUUCUGCUUCUCUACUUAUCUGUAAGUGCCAAAGAAGCUUGGAGGAUUUCAAGCUUGAUGGUUGAAAAGACUAACAACAUUAAAACUACAAAGAAUAUCUCAUUUUCUCCAGGAGCUCCCCAGUUCCUCAGCAUGACCAUGUUAGUCACAGCCGAGAGACACAAAGCUACAAGUCAUCAGAUUCUCCUGCAAUUUACCGGCUUUCAGUUUCCUUAGAAAUUGGAGGCAAGACACAAAAAUAAAUAGCAUCAAACCUCAGCAGAUUCAUCAUGGAUGCUUACCAGAGUGGCUGAGAAACACAGUUUUCAUGGUUCAAGUCCAUCUGCUCAUGAUUGAGAAUUCAAGAGAUUAUUAUCUCUCUCUCUCUCUCUCAGGCAUCUUCUUGGGACCUCUGCAACAGCUUUAGUUAGCUCACAGGAAUGUAAGAUUUGCCUGUAAUUCCUUGAGCCUUUGAGCAGAUUUAAAUAGCCUAAGGUUCAAAGAGAAUACACUUGC
rnacentral:lncRNA from 1 species